rnacentral:rRNA from 1 species
CCUACGGGAGGCUGCAGUGAGGAAUAUUGGUCAAUGGACGCAAGUCUGAACCAGCCAUGCCGCGUGAAGGAAGACGGCUCUAUGAGUUGUAAACUGCUUUUGUACGAGGGUAAACGCAGAUACGCGUAUCUGUCUGAAAGUAUCGUACGAAUAAGGAUCGGCUAAAUCCGGGCCAGCAGCCGCGGGAAUACGGAGGAUUCAAGCGUUAUCUGGAUUUAUUGGGGUUAAAGGGUGCGUAGGCGGUAUGAUAAUUUCGAGGGUAAAUGCCGAGGCUCAACUUCGGAAUUGCCGCUGAUACUGUUCGGCUAGAGAGUAGUUGAGGUAGGCGGAAUGUAUGGUGUAGCGGUGAAAUGCGUAGAGAUCAUACAGAACACCGAUUGCGAAGGCAGCUUACCAAGCCACUUCUGACGUUGAGGCACGAAAGCGUGGGGAGCAAACAGGAUUAGAUACCCGAGUAGUC